rnacentral:rRNA from 1 species
GGAGUUUGGGCCGUGUCUCAGUCCCAAUGUGGCCGUUCACCCUCUCAGGCCGGCUACUGAUCGUUGCCUUGGUGGGCCGUUACCCCGCCAACAAGCUAAUCAGACGCGGAUCCAUCUCGCACCGAUAAAUCUUUUACCCCUGUCCCAUGCGGGACCGUGGUCUUAUGCGGUAUUACCAGCCGUUUCCAGCUGCUAUCCCCCUGUGCGAGGCAGGUUAUCCACGCGUUACUCACCCGUCCGCCACUAAGUUAAAGGUCCAUCCGAAAAUUUCUCUUUAACCCCGUUCGACUUGCAUGUGUUAGGCACGCCGCCAGCGUUCAUC